rnacentral:rRNA from 1 species
ACGAACGCUGGCGGCGUGCUUAACACAUGCAAGUCGAACGGAAAGGCCCUGCUUUUGUGGGGUGCUCGAGUGGCGAACGGGUGAGUAACACGUGAGUAACCUGCCCUUGACUUUGGGAUAACUUCAGGAAACGGGGGCUAAUACCGGAUAGGAGCUCCUGCUGCAUGGUGGGGGUUGGAAAGUUUCGGCGGUUGGGGAUGGACUCGCGGCUUAUCAGCUUGUUGGUGGGGUAGUGGCUUACCAAGGCUUUGACGGGUAGCCGGCCUGAGAGGGUGACCGGCCACAUUGGGCCUGAGAUACGGCCCAGACUCCUCCGGGAGGCAGCAGUGGGGAAUAUUGCACAAUGGGCGGAAGCCUGAUGCAGCAACGCCGCGUGCGGGAUGACGGCCUUCGGGUUGUAUACCGCUUUCGCCUGUGCCGAAGCGUGAGUGACGGUAAUGGGUAAAGAAGCACCGGCUAACUACGUG